AGUGAACGCUGGCGGUAGGCCUAACACAUGCAAGUCGAACGGCAGCACAGUAAGAUCUUGCUCUUACGGGUGGCGAGUGGCGGACGGGAGAGGAAUACAUCGGAAUCUACUUUUUCGUGGGGGAUAACGUAGGGAAACUUACGCUAAUACCGCAUACGACCUACGGGUGAAAGCAGGGGAUCUUCGGACCUUGCGCGAUUGAAUGAGCCGAUGUCGGAUUAGCUAGUUGGCGGGGUAAAGGCCCACCAAGGCGACGAUCCGUAGCUGGUCUGAGAGGAUGAUCAGCCACACUGGAACUGAGACACGGUCCCGACUCCUACGGGAGGCAGCAGUGGGGAAUAUUGGACAAUGGGCGCAAGCCUGAUACAGCCAUACCGCGUGGGUGAAGAAGGCCUUCGGGUUGUAAAGCCCUUUUGUUGGGAAAGAAAAGCAGCAGGUUAAUACCCCGCUGUUCUGACGGUACCCAAAGAAUAAGCACCGGCUAACUUCGUG
rnacentral:rRNA from 1 species